CAGUCCUUGAGCAGCUCUUGUUCCAGCAACAUCUUUAACUUCCCUGGUUCCUGAUGCUGUCUUUGGCUUGUUCCUGGAUUUCAGCCUCUGGGUUCUUCUUGCGGAUCUGGUUCCUGAUUUCUGACCCAGAUGGGAGCAAGUGUCAUGUUGAAUACCAUACUGCACUUCUGUAAGGUCUCUGCAAUGUCUAAAAACGAGGAGGAGGAGAUGAUGGCGGUCAGAUGCACCAUCCAGGACCAUAUGAAGGUUGUGAGGACAUCUGCAAAUGGGGGAUUUUUGGAUGUUUGACUCUCCAACCAAAAUGUGAAUUCUUUUGCCGUAGCUUUCUGUGUGUAUGGACAUCAGUGUGUGGCUACCGUUCACCUCCCACAGAUGGUGACAGCUUAUUGAGCCCAGUGGUUCUGCAGUUGUCAUCCUGAGAAAUAGUUUUUAGGAUGUGGCUUGGCCUGGGUAGAGUGCCCACUUUAAUUUCUGUGUGUGCCAAGUCAUGGCUCCCUUGCUCUUGUAUAAGGCAUGUUUUACUGUACGCUGUCUCGCUCUCAUCACAUUAUUAUUAUUAUUAUUAUUAUUAUUAUUAUUAGUGUCAGUCUGAAGGAUACAUUAGCACAUCACAGGUCUGGAAAGACCAAAGUGGCUGAUAGCACUUUGUGUAAUGAUCUCAUUUUCCAGUUUAAUUUUAUUUCUCCUUAUGUAUAUUGGACUCUGAUAUCAGUUUUAUACAGCAUGAGCAUGGGGCCAAGUUUGUAAAAUAAGCAAUAUGCUUCAGGAAGAUGUCAGGUGGAAGCCAGGGUUUUAUAUUUAAGAAGUGCUCUUAUAGAUUUAAAAAGUCCAGUGCCA